UAGUAGACCAUUGCUCACUAACGGCCGUCUCCCUCUCUUCUGGGCCCAGCUCUCCAUGAAUGAUGAGAGUGAGAACCAGACCACCUGGCUGACCCUCGUGGGCUUCGGGAAACUGGAACACCUGGGCUUCCUCCCCUUUGCUCUCUUUCUAGCCAUCUAUGUGGCAACGGUUGGUGGCAAUAUCCUCAUUGUGCUUGCUGUGGCCUCCAGUCGGACCCUCCACACACCCAUGUACUUCUUUCUCUGCCAUUUCUCCCUGCUGGAGAUUAGUUAUACAUCCAACAUCGUGCCUCGGCUGUUACAGAGCUUCCUGGAAGGUGGGGACAUCAUCUCAUUGGUCGGCUGCCUCGCCCAGUUCUACGUGUUUGCCUCACUGGCUGCAGCGGAGUGUCUCAUGCUCUCGGCCAUGUCCUAUGACCGUUACUUGGCCAUUUGCCAUCCCCUCCAUUACCCGGUUCUCAUGAGCACCUGGUGCUGCGGCUGCCUAGCCACGGGUGCUUGGUUCAGCGGCUUCUUCUUCUCUGCCUGCACUCUGGCCUUGGCAGCCCCUCUGUCCCUCUGUCCCGGCCGCAGGGUGAUUGAUCACUACUUCUGUGACUUUGCUCCGGUUGUAGGGCUGUUCUGUGGAGAGGUGUGGGUCAUGUGGGGGGCUGGCGUGAGCAUCUCGGGUUGCCUCACGCUUGCGCCCUUCCUGUUGAUUGUCACGUCCUACCUCUUCAUCCUGAAGGUGGUGCUGAGAAUCCCUUCAGGCCCGGGAGACAGAAAGCGUUCUCCACCUGCUCCUCCCACCUCAGUGUGGUUGCCGUGUUUUACGGCACUCUCAUUGUGGUCUACGUGGCCCCGACAGACCACAUGCCCACCCUGCUCCGGAAGGCCUUCUCCGUCCUCUACACAGUACUCACCCCCAUGGUCAACCCCAUCAUCUAUAGUCUCAAGAAUCAAGAGGUAAAAUGGGCUCUGCAUAGGCUCUGGAGGCAGCUCCUCUGAGGACACGACCGCUGUGGUGUACAGGGCAGCUAUAACUUCUUUGAUUUUUACCUUAGCCCCUUCCUCAAAGUCAGAUGGAGAAAGAAGGCCGUUGUGUUGAAAAGACGAGACAAUGGAUUGA